rnacentral:rRNA from 1 species
GGCACAAGCAGUGGAGCAUGUGGUUUAAUUCGAAGCAACGCGAAGAACCUUACCAGGUCUUGACAUCCCGAUGCUAUUUCUAGAGAUAGAAAGUUACUUCGGUACAUCGGUGACAGGUGGUGCAUGGUUGUCGUCAGCUCGUGUCGUGAGAUGUUGGGUUAAGUCCCGCAACGAGCGCAACCCCUAUUGUUAGUUGCCAUCAUUCAGUUGGGCACUCUAGCGAGACUGCCGGUAAUAAACCGGAGGAAGGUGGGGAUGACGUCAAAUCAUCAUGCCCCUUAUGACCUGGGCUACACACGUGCUACAAUGGUUGGUACAACGAGUUGCGAGUCGGUGACGGCGAGCUAAUCUCUUAAAGCCAAUCUCAGUUCGGAUUGUAGGCUGCAACUCGCCUACAUGAAGUCGGAAUCGCUAGUAAUCGCGGAUCAGCACGCCGCGGUGAAUACGUUCCCGGGCCUU